GCCGGGCAUAGUGAUGCAUGCCUGUAAUCCCAGCUACUCAGGAGGCUGAGGCAGAAGAAUUGCUUGAACCCAGGAGGUGGUGGUUGCAGUGAGCCGAGAUCACACCACUGCACUCCAGCCUGGGCAACAGAGUGAGACUCUGUCUCAA
rfam:Pan troglodytes isolate Yerkes chimp pedigree #C0471 (Clint) chromosome 17, whole genome shotgun sequence.